rnacentral:tRNA from 1 species
GCGUCCUUAGCUCAGUUGGAUAGAGCAACGGCCUUCUAAGCCGUGGGUCGCAGGUUCGAAUCCUGCAGGACGCGCCA